rnacentral:rRNA from 1 species
UUUUUAUGAGAGUUUGAUCCUGGCUCAGGACGAACGCUGGCGGCGUGCCUAAUACAUGCAAGUAGAACGCUGAAGUCUGGUGCUUGCACUAGACGGAUGAGUUGCGAACGGGUGAGUAACGCGUAGGUAACCUGCCUCAUAGC